rnacentral:rRNA from 1 species
AUUGAACGCUGGCGGCAGGCCUAACACAUGCAAGUCGAGCGGAUGAAGCGAGCUUGCUCCUGGAUUCAGCGGCGGACGGGUGGGUAAUGCCUAGGAAUCUGCCUGGUCGUGGGGGAUAACGUCCGGAAACGGGCGCUAAUAUCGCGUCCGUCCUGUGGGCGACAGUGGGGGGGCUUCGGACCGCUCGGUUUCAGAUGAGCCUAGUUGGGAUUAGCUAGUUGGUGGGGUAACGGCCUACAAAGGCUGCGAACCGUAACUGGUCUGAGAGGACGAUCCGUCACACUGGAACUGAGACACGGUCCACACUCCUACGGUAGGCAGCGGCCGGGAAUACUGGACGAGGGGCGAGAGCCUGAUCCAGCCAAGCCGCGUGUGUGAAGAAGCACCUCUGAUGCUAAAGCACUUUAAGUCUUGAGGAAGGGCAGUAAGUUAAUACCUGACUGUAUUGACGUUACCAGCAGAAUAAGCACCGGCUAACUUCGUG